UACCGCAUAUUCUGUGAGCAGGAAAGCAGGGGAUCGCAAGACCUUGCGCUGAUUGAGCCGGCCGAUGUCAGAUUAGCUAGUUGGUGAGGUAAAGGCUCACCAAGGCGACGAUCUGUAGCGGGUCUGAGAGGAUGAUCCGCCACACUGGGACUGAGACACGGUCCAGACUCCUACGGGAGGCAGCAGGUGGGGUAAUUUUGGACAAUGGGGGCAACCCUGAUCCAGCCAUGCCGCGUGAGUGAAGAAGGCCUUCGGGUUGUAAAGCUCUUUCGGCCGGGAAGAAAUCGCAUGGGUUAAUACCCUGUGCGGAUGACGGUACCGGCAUAAGAAGCACCGGCUAACUACGUG
rnacentral:rRNA from 1 species